CCAAGCCGAGCCGGUCCCUGUCCUUUUCCAGCCGAGCCGCCAAGACUAAUUUGGCUCCAUCCACCUAAAUUUUGGGACGUCGUGGACCAAGUAAUUGCUGCAGCGCGGGAUUUCUUCAGUAGGGGCUCGAGCACUGCAACCUCUUUCUAGGUUAGGACCUCGUCGCUUGGAAAGCAUACUGCCUCGCGGUUAGGACUCGUCAAGUAAAUCUCCAGGUAGAGGACGAGGCAAGGGCAAAGGCAAGCUGGCGAGCGACCAGAAGUGACCGUGGCGAGCCAUAGGGAUUUCCGCUUCCGCUUAUCCUUGUUUUUGACUUUAGUACCCAAGUUUGAGUAUUCUUCACUAUUUACCAU